ensembl:lncRNA
GUUUCUUUGACCUUUCGCCCGACUCGCUGAUUUUGUCUGGAAAAGGAGAUGUGUCCCUCUUGAGUUGCCUUAAGGAGAGGGGUCUGGCUGCAGACAUCCACCCACACGCUCCAGACAUCCACCCACACGCACUUCCGCUGCAGACAGAAACAUCCACCCACACGCCGGAAAUUGCGUGCUGGUGGAUGUCUGGAGUGCGAGUUGCACAUUAUUCAACAGCGCCCCCUCGGGUCACACUUUUCGGUGGGUCGCAGAAUUCGGUGUAACAGCGGGACUCACUGCACGAAUAUGUGACGUUCGGCUCAGCUGCACUUGGAGGUUAUGAUGCAUCACUCGAUUUUUAGGGAUGAUUCAAAGCCAGAAGUCAAAUGCUGCACAACUUGCUGCACACUUUUCCACCGCCCCCUAUGCCCAACUUUUAAACCAACCGUAAACACGAAGCUUCAGUGCCACCUGGAAUCCCACAUAAAACAUUCCAUUACAUUUAAAGGUGAUAUAUGUAUGUGUGUAGAAAGAAUAUAAGAAUGUAUGUGUAUAUGUCUGUAGACAAUAUUUAUGAAUGUUUGUCUGGUUACUUUUAUAAGUCACUGACUUAUUUUCCUCUAUCUUUUGCCUGCAUUGAUCUUAGACACAAAGAUCAAUGAUAAUUUCCCUGAAUAUUC